GACGAACGCUGGCGGCGUGCUUAACACAUGCCAGUCGAACGGAAAGGCCCUGCUUGCAGGGUACUCGAGUGGCGAACGGGUGAGUAACACGUGGGUGUACUGCCCUGCACUUCGGGAUAAGCCUGGAAAACUGGGUCUAUUACCGGAUAGGAGCCAUCUUGAGUGUGGUGGUUGGAAAGUUUUUUCGGUGUAGGAUGAGGUCGCGGCCUAUCAGCUUGUUGGUGGGGUAAUGGCCUACCAAGGCGGCGACGGGGAGCCGGCCUGAGAGGGUGUACGGCCACAUUGGGACAGAGAGACGGCCCAGACUCCUACGGGGGGCAGCAGUGGGGAAUAUUGUACAAUGGGCGCAAGCCUGAGGCAGCGACGCCGCGUGGGGGAUGAAGGCGUUCGGGUUGUAAACUCCUUUCGCUAGGGACGAAGCUUUGUUGUGACGGUACCUAGAUAAGAAGCACCGGCUAACUACGUG
rnacentral:rRNA from 1 species